AACGAACGCUGGCGGCGUGCUUAACACAUGCAAGUCGAACGAGAAAGCAUCUUCGGAUGUGAGUAUAGUGGCGCACGGGUGAGUAAUGGAUAGGAACGUACCGAUAAGAGGGGAAUAACCACGGGAAACUGUGGCUAAUACCGCAUGUGGUCGCAAGACCAAAGUGGGCCUCUACUUGUAAGCUCGCGCUUAUCGAUCGGCCUAUCUCCCAUUAGCUAGUUGGCAGGGUAAUGGCCUACCAAGGCGACGAUGGGUAGCUGGUCUGAGAGGAUGAUCAGCCACACUGGGACUGAGACACGGCCCAG
rnacentral:rRNA from 1 species